rnacentral:rRNA from 1 species
AGCUGGUCGUAGAAGGUGAAAGCCCUGUAGACGAAAAGUGUGCGACUUUUGAUUAGUUCCUGAGUACGACGGGACACGUGAAAUCUUGUUGGAAUCUGGGGGGACCAUCCUCCAAGGCUAAGUACUUCUGGCGACCGAUAGUGAACUAGUACCGUGAGGGAAAGGUGAAAAGAACCCCGUGAGGGGAGUGAAAUAGAACUGAAACCAUGUGCCUACAAACCGUAGAAGCUGUAUUUAUACAGUGACUGCGUGCCUAUUGAAGAAUGAGCCAACGAGUUACGUUAUGUGGCAGGUUAAGGCGUUUAAGCGCUGGAGCCGCAGCGAAAGCGAGUCUGAAUAGGGCUAUUUCGUCGCAUGGCGUAGACCCGAAACCGUGUGAGCUACCCUUGGCCAGGUUGAAGCGGAAGUAAAAUUUCGUGAAGGACCGAACCCUUGUAAGUUACAAAUUGCUGGGAUGAGCUGAGGGUAGGGGUAAAAUGCCAAUCGAACACGGAGAUAGCUGGUUCUCCCCGAAAUGUAUUUAGGUACAGCGUCAAGUUUACUUUGCGGAGGUAGAUCACUGGAUGGGCUAGGGGGCGUGAGCUUACCAAACCCAACCAAAAUCCGAAUACCGUAAAGCGUAGCUUGGCAGUGAGACAGUGAAGGAUAAGCUCCAUUGUCGAAAGGGAAACAGCCCAGAUCGCAAGCUAAGGUCCCGAAGUGUGUGCUAAGUGUGAAACGAAGUGGGAACGCCCAGACAGCCAGGAGGUUGGCUUAGAAGCAGCCAUCCUUUAAAGAGUUCGUAACAGAUCACUGGUCAAGGGUUUCUGCACGGAAAAUAAACGGGGCUAAGCACACCACCGAAGCUGCGAAUUUAUUCAAUUUUUGAAUAAGUGGUAGGGGAGCGUUCUUAGUGCACUGAAGCUGAGUUGUAAGACUUGGUGGAGCGCUAAGAAGUGAGUAUGUUGGCAUAAGUAGCGACAAUGUCGGUGAGAAUCCGACACGCCGAAAGUCUAAGGUUUCCUACGCUACGCUGAUCGACGUAGGGUUAGGCGGGCCUAAGGUGUAGCCGAAUGGCGAAGCCGAUGGAUAGCAGGUCAAAAUUCCUGCCCCACCAUAGAUUUGCUUGAACUUGCGAGGGGACGCAGAAAGAUAGACAAUGCAUGCCUAUUGGACAUGGUGUGCUUAUACCUGUAGAUGAGUACUGAAGGUUAAAAUAUUCAGUAUGUUUAAUUGAGGGGUGUGAAAACCAUAAGGUUUCCUUAUGGAAUAUUGUUGACUCUAUACUGCCUAGAAAAGCCUCGCAAGCUAGAAUUUAUGGUGUCCGUACCGCAAACCGACACUGGUAGACAGGGAUAAAUGUCCCUAGGCGUUCGAGACAACCAUCGUUAAGGAACUCGGCAAAUUAACCCCGUAACUUCGGGAGAAGGGGAGCCUUUUUUGUAUAGAGAUUUACUCUUGAAAGCAUUAAAGGUCGCAGAGAAUAGGUUCGAGCGACUGUUUAUCAAAAACAUAGGUCCGUGCUAAACCGAAAGGUGAUGUAUACGGGCUGACGCCUGCCCAGUGCCGGUAGGUUAAAGAAGGAGGUGAGAGCUUCCGACUGAAGCCCCGGUGAACGGCGGCCGUAACUAUAACGGUCCUAAGGUAGCGAAGUCCCUUGUCGGGUAAGUUCCGACCCGCACGAAUGGCGUAACGACUUGAACACUGUCUCAACGAUGGACUCGGUGAAAUUGCAGGACCCGUAAAGAUGCGGGUUACGCGCAGCAGGACAAAAAGACCCCGUGGAGCUUUACUGUAGCUUGGCAUUGGUUUGA